CCUACGGGUGGCAGCAGUAGGGAAUUUUGCGCAAUGGGCGAAAGCCUGACGCAGCAACGCCGCGUGAUUGAUUAAGCUCUUCGGGGCGUAAAGCUCUGUCAGCGGGGACGAAACUUGACGGUACUCACCGACGAAGCAUCGGCUAACUCCGUGCCAGCAGCAGCGGUAAUACGGAGGGUGCAAGCGUUGUCCGGAAUCAUUGGGCGUAAGGAGUUCGUAGGUGGCAUAUUAAGUCUGGUGUUAAAUGCAGAAGCUCAACUUCUGUUCGGCACUGGAUACUGGUAAGCUGGAAUGCGGUAGAGGUGAGGGGAAUUCCUGGUGUAGCAGUGAAAUGCGUAGAUAUCAGGAGGAACAUCGGUGGCGUAAGCGCUUUACUGGGCCGUAAUUGACGCUGAGGAGCGAAAGCCGGGGUAGCAAAUGGGAUUAGAUACCCCUGUAGUC
rnacentral:rRNA from 1 species